GAGUGAGAGGGAAGAGCUCAUCAUUGGAAUCUGGCAGUGUUUCACUGUCCGAGUUGUAGAUGAGGAGUAGUCCGUCUGGACUGCAUGGCGUCCAAGUACAAUAGGCCGUCAGUGGGACAUCAUAGAGGGUGACAAUCCCGUCCUUGACGCCAAUGUGCAAGUCUAUUACGAUGGCUAUCUCAGAGAGUCGAGCAGUUUGGGAUUUGCUGCUUAAACAUGGGAGGUAGAUUCCUUCUAAAGCUAAAUACAGGCGAGAGACCGAUAGAGAACAAGUACCGCAAGGGAAAGAUGAAAUAGCACUCUGUGAAGGGAGUCAAAAGGCGUGAAAUUGUUGCGAGAGAAGCGAUUCAAGUCAGCGUAGCUAGGCCCAUCAAGCGUCUUCGCUUUGGACUAGCUUUGCCAGCGGUCUUGUCCCUUAAAGAGACUUGACUUGUAAUAUGUCCAGCCUGGCGUGCACAGGCAGCCCCUUCUGGGGGCCAGUGACAUGGCUGGUGGAAUGGCUUGCAAUCGACCCGUCUUGAAACACGGACCAAGGAGUCUAACAUGUAUGCGAGUAUAAGGGUGGCAAACCCGUAUGCGCAAUGAAAGUGAUUUUCGGUGAUUGAGAAUGGCCUGAUGACCAGACAAGCAAUAUAUGUCCCUCGUACGGCCAUUGCCCAAGUUCCGUGGUAGAUCCCACGAACAUGGAGUUGGAGCAUACAUGCUAGGACCCGAAAGAUGGUGAACUAUGCCUGGACAAAGCGAAGCCAAAGGAAACUCUGGUGGAGGCUUGUAGCGAUUCUGACGUGCAAAUCGAUCGUCUGAUCUGGGUAUAGGGGCGAAAGACUA
rnacentral:rRNA from 1 species